GUGGAUGUAGUCAAGCGGUUAAGACACAGGAUUGUGCAAUCCCUGCAUGCGUGGGUUCGAAUCCCAUCAUCCACCCCA
rnacentral:tRNA from 1 species